GAUGAACGCUGGCGGCGUGCCUAAUACAUGCAAGUCGAGCGAACAGACGAGGAGCUUGCUCCUCUGACGUUAGCGGCGGACGGGAGAGUAACACGUGGAUAACCUACCUAUAAGACUGGGAUAACUACGGGAAACCGGAGCUAAUACCGGAUAAUAUAUUGAACCGCAUGGUUCAAUAGUGAAAUACGGUUUUGCUGUCACUUAUAGAUGGACCCGCGCCUCAUUAGCUAGUUGGUAAGGUAACGGCUUACCAAGGCAACGAUGCGUAGCCGACCCGAGAGCGUCGUCGCACAGCCUGGAUCUGAGGCACGGUCCAGACUCUGACGCGAGGCAGCAGUAGGGAAUCUUCCGCGAUGGGCGAGAGCCUGACGGAGCAACGCCGCGUGAGUGAUGAAGGUCUUCGGAUCGUAAAGCUCUGUUAUUCGGGAAGAACAAAUGUGUAAGUAACUAUGCUCGUCUUGACGGUACCUAAUCAGAAAGCCACGGCUAACUACGUG
rnacentral:rRNA from 1 species